CAUGAAGUCGGAAUUGCUAGUAAUCGCAGAUCAGCAUGCUGCGGUGAAUACGUUCCCGGGCCUUGUACACCACCGCCCGUCACACCAUGGGAGUCGGUAACACCCGAAGUCGGUAGCCUAACCGUAAGGAGGGCGCCGCCGAAGGUGGGAUUGAUGACUGGGGUGAAGUCGUAACAAGGUAGC
rnacentral:rRNA from 1 species